rnacentral:rRNA from 1 species
UACGGGGGGGGCAAGCGUUGUUCGGAAUUACUGGGCGUAAAGGGCUCGUAGGCGGCCAACUAAGUCAUACGUGAAAUCCCUCGGCUUAACCGGGGAACUGCGUCUGAUACUGGAUGGCUUGAAUUCGGGAGAGGGAUGCGGAAUUCCAGGUGUAGCGGUGAAAUGCGUAGAUAUCUGGAGGAACACCGGUGGCGAAGGCGGCAACCUGGACCGAUACUGACGCUGAGGAGCGAAAGCCAGGGGAGCAAACGGG